CCCAGCAGAGCAUUCAAUAGUUCUCCCAUAGGACAGUAGGGUUUGCUCUUCCUCUCGACUCCAGGGACGGGUCAAUGAUGUGUCUUCUACGGUUCUACCUGACCGCGGCAUUUGAUUUCUACUCCUUGGUAGCCUGAUAGCUGCCUUUGAUGCUCCUCCCCCUUUGAAACUAAAUUAUUGCUCGCCCAACGAUAAUCUGUUCUGAUGGCCCAUUGGAUAGUUUUGGUGUCUUUGAAAGAGGAGGGAGGAGCUUGAUGUCUAAUUUCCUUGGAGUAAAGGAUUCAUUUGAUGACCCCUUAUUUUACAUGCCCCUUGGCCAGCAUGUUCGAUUCUAGUCUUCUCAGCUCUGCUGAAGGUUCAUUUAUGAAUCCCCAUCCUUAGAGAUUUCUUGAACAAGAAUCACUGUCUAAUCGACCAAAGGGGUCAAUAAUUGAGGAGAUGAAGACGAAAACGGGCUGGAGAAUUAAGGGAAUUCAAGAAAACAUUGCAGAUCUACUCAAGAGCCAUCCGAUGAGGAUCCUGACUUUUGGCUUUUGGGAUGUUGAUAUCAGUGUUGGUCCUAAUGUUUGUUUAUAUUAAUGGUAGUGAUGGACUUAAUCUACCCUGUUGUAGAGAAAAAGAGUAGGCAUAUAUCUCAAAGAAAUGACAAUAACCACACACACCUAACAAGGAGUCAGCCUCAGUCGCAUACUUCACUUUUCAAAGCUCUCUUUUUUCUUAUGGUGGUGGAAAUGGUACCGAGCACCAAUAUUCUAGGACAAGGAGAUCAGGGAGUGAUGGAUUGACUAUUGAAGAGUGCAAAGAAGCUAAUUAAGCUGUAUGCCGAGCAACUCAUAGAAAUUCAAGAGGAGUUCAUGACAAUGCAUUCUGUCACACUAGGAAACUGAAGUCAGAUGGUCAUGUUGACACAAUGCAGACCCUGCAUAACCCCAAUGAAGAUGAACUUGCUGGUUUUGAGGAAGCAUAGAAAGGCAGUGCUAGAAGGAAUCUCCCCGGAUUGAGUGAAGGGCUUUCUAUUCAAGAUUCUAUGGGAUCUGAAAUUGGCAGUCAGCACAGACCUAACAGAGGCCGCUGGGCAAUUACCUGCUGCUGCUGAGAGAUCAACAAAUGCUGGAAAUUUCCAGUCAGAGGUUGUAUUGGCUGGUCCUGCACCAUUUCUGCAAAGAAUGGAACUAUAUCAUAAUGAUCGAACAAGCUCUUCACAUCACAGGUCUAGCGGAAGCAGCCUAGCUGCCAAGCCGGUAAGCUUUAGGAGCCUUCAACAUACCAUUUCCCUCUAUGCAAAUUCUGUUUCAUGAUUGAUUGCGCAUGUACAUCUGUUGAAUACAUGCCCACGUUGCAUCUAUGAUUAAGUAGCUGCACGGUGAGGCAUUGAGGCAUUGAAGAUCUGUUGAGCAAUUUGAAUGUUUGUGUUUGAAUGGCUAUGGAUGGAGGAUAUAUAUACAGCUUAUGUGCUUAGUCAUUUGUA